UAGGGAAUCUUCGGCAAUGGGGGGAACCCUGACCGAGCAACGCCGCGUGAGUGAAGAAGGUUUUCGGAUCGUAAAGCUCUGUUGUUAAGGAAGAACGAGUGUGAGAAUGGAAAGUUCAUACUGUGACGGUACUUAACCAGAAAGGGACGGCUAACUACGUGCCAGCAGCCGCGGUAAUACGUAGGUCCCGAGUGUUGUCCGGAUUUAUUGGGCGUAAAGCGAGCGCAGGCGGUUAGAUAAGUCUGAAGUUAAAGGCAGUGGCUCAACCAUUGUAGGCUUUGGAAACUGUUUAACUUGAGUGCAGAAGGGGAGAGUGGAAUUCCAUGUGUAGCGGUGAAAUGCGUAGAUAUAUGGAGGAACACCGGUGGCGAAAGCGGCUCUCUGGUCUGUAACUGACGCCGAGGCUCGAAAGCGUGGGGAGCGAACAGG
rnacentral:rRNA from 1 species